ACGCUCGACACCUACGGGAGGUAGCAGUGGGGAAUAUUGCACAAUGGGGGAAACCCGUGAUGCAGCGACGCCGCGUGAGCGAAGAAGUAUUUCGGUAUGUAAAGCUCUAUCAGCAGGGAAGAAACUGACGGUACCUGACUAAGAAGCACCGGCUAAAUACGUGCUAGCAGCCGCGGUAAUCUGAGCGGGCUGGCAAGGC
rnacentral:rRNA from 1 species